rnacentral:rRNA from 1 species
GACAGAGGAUGCAAGCGUUAUCCGGAAUGAUUGGGCGUAAAGCGUCUGUAGGUGGCUUUUUAAGUCUGCCGUCAAAUCCCAGGGCUUAACCCUGGACAGGCGGUGGAAACUACCAAGCUGGAGUACGGUAGGGGCAGAGGGAAUUUCCGGUGGAGCGGUGAAAUGCGCAGAUAUCAGGAGGAACACCGGUGGCGAAGGCGGAUCUCUGGGCCUUACCUGACGCUCAGGUGCGAAAGCUAGGGGAGCGAACAGG